rnacentral:lncRNA from 1 species
AAAAAUUAUAAAGAAGCGUCGACAAAUUCAAGUGAAGCGCACUCUACCUGCCAACCGUGUUGAAGUGCAACAGCCACACAGCGAGGAAACAUCAAAUGAUGAAAACAGCACCGACUUGUGCAGUGCCACUGAGAACACUGCUUGUGAUACAUUCGAAGAACACUCAUAUACAUAUCAUGAGCACAAUGAAAAUGAUCUGCUAAAGAAGCAGCAAGAAUCCAUUCACCAUCUUGAGCAGGAACUAGAAAAAGCUAAAGCAGUAAUUACUGCAUUGAAGAAGGAGUUAGAGGAGAAAACAAAGGCUAAUGCAGAUUCAGCAAGGCUGUAUAACCGCCUUCAGCAAAAGAACAGAUGUUUGGUGCUUGAAAUAUCACGUUUGAGUGGUUGCCUCAGAAAGGCCUCCAAAACAAAAAGAACAGAGUUUGAAUACGAUGUCUUGGCUCAGAACGAAAAGAGACUGCGCUACUAUACUGGAUUCGCAUCACGCCUGCAUUUGGAGGCAUUUUGGUCGCUGUUAGAAGACGACGUGAACAGCCUGCAAUUUUGGAAUAUGAAAGGAACUGCAAAUGAAGACAGAAAGUUUCUGCUGCCGCUCAAGACACAGUUAAUAAUUGUGCUUAUGAGACUUCGGCUGGGACUUGACGGAGCCGACCUUGCAUUCAGGUUUGAUGUGUCGGAGAGCACGGUGUCCCGCCUAUGGGUAACCUGGCUUGACUUCCUACACAACAAGCUACGCCAGGUAUGCAAAAACACUUUUAAGUUGACAGUCACAUAAUCAUCGUUACUACGUUAUUUGUAUAAAAAGACGCCUAUUUUCACAUUGAUGUGAGAAAAAGUCUAGUCCAUGGUGUGGUAC